rnacentral:snRNA from 1 species
GCUUCUCUUCAGCAGCACAGACUGAAAUUAGAACGAAGCAGGGGUUAGCAUGGCCCUGUGCAAGGUCGGCCUGCAAAUCUGUGAAGUGUUCCAUACUCUU